rnacentral:rRNA from 1 species
CCUACGGGUGGCAGCAGUGAGGAAUAUUGGGCAAUGGGCGCGAGCCUGAACCAGCCAAGUAGCGUGAAGGAUGACUGCCCUACGGGUUGUAAACUUCUGUUAUAAAGGAAUAAAGUGAGGCACGUGAGCCGUUUUGUAUGUACUUUAUGAAUAAGGAUCGGCUAACGCCGUGCCAGCAGCCGCGGUAAUACGGAGGAUCCGAGCGUUAUCCGGAUUGAUGGGGUUUAAAGGGAGCGUAGAUGGGUUGUUAAGUCAGUUGUGCAAGUUUGCGGCUCAACCGUAAAAUUGCAAUUGAUACUGGCAGUCUUGCGUACAGUUGCGUUAGGCUGAAUUCGUGGUGUAGCGGU